CUUCAAACACUUUUGAGAGUGCUUAUGUGGAAAAGUGGGUACUUUAUACUGGUCAGCUCUUAUUUACCUUUGAAAAAAAAAAAAGAAAGCCAAGACAGUUCCCUCCAUAAAACACAUCACUAUUGAUACUAGACUGUCAAUCACCAAAACACCCUACAGUUGUUUAUUUUUCCUGAUGUGAACUCUGUGUUGCAGAUUGUCCUAAGGACUUGCUGUUCCAAGAUGAAGGCUUUGUAGAAGCUAAGGAAUCCUAUUCUUUUUUAGCCGAAAUUGAAAUCAUCAUAGCCAGAUAGAUGUG
rnacentral:lncRNA from 1 species